rnacentral:rRNA from 1 species
UUGUNAUCUGGCUCUUUCANAGUCCGAGUUGUAGUCUCGAGAAGCAUCAUCCGCGCCGGACCUUGGAUAUGUCUGUUGGAAAACAGCGUCAUAGAGGGUGACAAUCCCGUUUGUGCCAAGGACGCCCGUGUGCAUUGCGGUGUGCUUUCUAAGAGUCGAGUUGUUUGGGAAUGCAGCUCAAAUUGGGUGGUAAAUUCCAUCUAAAGCUAAAUAUUGGCGAGAGACCGAUAGCGAACAAGUACCGUGAGGGAAAGAUGAAAAGCACUUUGGAAAGAGAAUGAAACAGUAUGUGAAAUUGCUGGAAGGGAAACGUUUGAAGUUAGACUUGCUUUUGUCACAUUCAGCCUUUUAGGUGUACUUGUGGCUUGUGCAGGCCAGCAUCGGUUUGCUUUGCGGUAUAAGGGUGCAUGGGAUGUAGCUGCCUCGGCAGUGUUAUAAACUUGCACUGGAUGCCGAAUCGCAGACCGAGGUUCGCAGCGCGCCUUUUUUGGCAAUGGGCUUGCCCAUC